AGUGAACGCUGGCGGUAGGCCUAACACAUGCAAGUCGAACGGCAGCACAGUAAGAGCUUGCUCUUACGGGUGGCGAGUGGCGGACGGGUGAGGCAUACAUCGGAAUCUACUUUUUCGUGGGGGAUAACGUAGGGAAACUUACGCUAAUACCGCAUACGACCUACGGGUGAAAGCAGGGGAUCUUCGGACCUUGCGCGAUUGAAUGAGCCGAUGUCGGAUUAGCUAGUUGGCGGGGUAAAGGCCCACCAAGGCGACGAUCCGUAGCUGGUCUGAGAGGAUGAUCAGCCACACUGGAACUGAGACACGGUCCAGACUCCUACGGGAGGCAGCAGUGGGGAAUAUUGGACAAUGGGCGAAAGCCUGAUCCAGCCAUACCGCGUGGGUGAAGAAGGCCUUCGGGUUGUAAAGCCCUGUUGUUGGGAAAGAAAAGCAGCAGGUUAAUACCCCGCUGUUCUGACGGUACCCAAAGAAUAAGCACCGGCUAACUUCGUG
rnacentral:rRNA from 1 species